rnacentral:rRNA from 1 species
GGGCUAGGGGGCAUAGCGCUUACCGAACCUUAUCAAACUCCGAAUGCCACAUACUUUGAGCUCGGCAGUCAGACUACGAAUGAUAAGAUCCGUGGUCAAAAGGGAAACAGCCCAGAUCGUCAGCUAAGGUCCCAAAGUGUAAGUUAAGUGGGAAAGGAUGUGAGAUUUCUAAGACAACUAGGAUGUUGGCUUAGAAGCAGCCAUUCAUUAAAAGAGUGCGUAAUAGCUCACUAGUCGAGAGAUCUUGCGCCGAAAAUGUAACGGGGCUAAACUUACCACCGAAGCUACGGGCUUGAACUUAGUUCAAGCGGUAGGAGAGCGUCGUAACCGGGCUGAAGUCGUACCGUAAGGAGCGGUGGACUGGUUACGAGUGAGAAUGUUGGCAUCAGUAGCGAGAUGUGGGUGAGAAUCCCACAGGCCGAAAACCUAAGGUUUCCUCAGGAAGGUUCGUCCGCUGAGGGUUAGUCGGGACCUAAGCCGAGGCCGAAAGGCGUAGGUGAUGGACAACUGGUUGAUAUUCCAGUACCACUACCAUCGUUAUUAUCGAUGGCGUGACGCAGGAGGAUAGUGUGUGCUAGCUAUUGGAUGCUAGUCUAAGCGUUUAGGCAGUGAGAGUAGGCAAAUCCGCUCUCAUAAUGCUGAGGCGUGAUGGGGAAGGUUCUACGGAAC